rnacentral:lncRNA from 1 species
CCAUGAGCAAAUAAGUCUGGGUAAACUCUAUAUUCACUGGGGGACCCCAGAAGACUCAGAAAAUUGCUGGAAUUACAGGUGCCUCUGAGGACCUCUCAGGAAUGAUGACAAGUGAGCAGUGCUUUCCAGUCGUGUGCUCAGUGGCAGGCAGUGUGAUACCACAGGGACGGAUGGUGCUCAGCCACUGUGAACUGAGUCACGUGGGCGUCCAGUUCCUGGAGACUGCAAAUGAGAAGGGAAUUCACCUGCAGAGAAAGAAUAAAACAGUAGCAACGGCAACUACCACGCCAAACUCCACAUUUAAGACCAAAACUCCCUCUGAACUUAUCCAUGCCUGAUGUGAGGCCAGCUCUUUUCAACACUAAUCUAAUCAACACUGCAACAAAAAGAGAGGCAAGAAGCAGAGGGACAGUCGCUGUGUCAGUUAUCCUAGCCACAAUAAUGCCACGCAACAAACAAAAAACUUUAGUGGCACCCAGUACAAAGUUCAUUGCUCCUAAAUCUGGGGUCAGAUGGAGGCUGGCCAGGUGAAUCUCCAGAUCUUGGCUCUGCUCACUUUCUUGCCUGGGGCUGUGCUCGCUGAGGUGGCUUGGCUCCAGUGGACUAGCUACGCUAGACACAGGCAAAAGUAUGGAGGAGAGCAGAAACCUGCAAGGCUUCUUGAAGCCUGGGCUCAAACUGGCACACUUUCCCUUCUGCCUCUUUCCCAUUGGAUGAGUCCAGAUUCAAGAGAUUCUCUGAAACAUUUGUCUGGUGUCCCAGCAGUUACCACUCUCCUCUUCACAGCAUUUGGAAAAGCCUACAUUAUUUUCAGAUUCUCUUCUCUGAGAAUUCUCAGCUCUUUCUUUAUCAAUAUGGUCAUCUGUAACCUGCAGUACUACAGUAAAUCUAAAAAAGGAAAACAAAAAAGUGCUUAUUGGACUCUCAAUGGCCUACCUUUGAAAAUAGCCCCAAGUAAGGGGAAAACUCUGUGGAGCUGAAAGGAAAAUACCCAUGCAUCACCUGACUUCCCCUUUUUCCACAGUAGGUGGGCCAUGCUACUUUCUCCAUCCUUGCUGCCCAUUCAGCUUGGUCACAUGACAAAGCUCUCUCCAAUGGAAUGAGAGCAGAGGUGAUGUGAGCCACUUCUAGGCCUGGUCCAUGAAACCACCUGUGACUUUUGCUAGGAUAGACUUCCUCUAACUGAAUAAAAAUCUAUAUCCCUAUUAUUGCUGUUUGCUGAUCUUAGUUAAUUUUUCUGAAAUAAGAUAAGCCUACCCCUUCUUCCUCACCCCUCUUUAGGGCCCUUUCUAACUCUAAAUAUCUAUGAUUUCAUAACUGAGUUCAGAAUGCCCAUUCAAAAU